UACGGAGGGUGCGAGCGUUAUCCGGAAUCACUGGGCGUAAAGGGCGCGUAGGCGGUUUGUUAAGUCCGAUGUUAAAGACCGAGGCUCAACCUCGAUACGGCGUUGGAUACUGGCAAGCUGGACGGUUGGAGAGGAAGGUAGAAUUACCAGUGUAGCGGUGGAAUGCGUAGAUACUGGUAGGAAUACCCAUUGCGAAGGCAGCCUUCUGGACAACACGUGACGCUGAGGCGCGAAAGUGUGGGGAGCAAACCGG
rnacentral:rRNA from 1 species